UUAAGUUCAGCGGGUAUCCCUACCUGAUCCGAGGUCAAACUUAGAAAGUUGGGGGUUGCUGGCAAGCACACACCGAGAACUCUGUAGCGAGGAGUAUUACUACGCUUAGAGCACGAUGGCACCGCCACUGAUUUUAAGACCGAUCAGAACUGAUGCGGUCCAAGACCAAGCAGAGCUUGAGUGUUGUACUGACGCUCGAA
rnacentral:misc_RNA from 1 species